UUUGAUGCCAAGUGUACAAUGAAAAUUGACAACAGAAGUGUCAUGGUCUUGGUGGAAAAAGCCUUGCUCUUCAUUGACCUCUGUUUAAUAAUGGCUGGUGAUAGAAAACUAUCAGGAAUGCUUCAAGCUGGCAAUGGAGGGAAAUGUAAAAGACACUGAAAAAUCACAAGGUUUAGAAUAUGCUCACAGUCAGUCUUCAAG